GUACUGCCCAAAGACCUUCACCACUCACAAUGCCAUUGCCUUGCCUUGCUCUACUAUGGUUCUAUCAUCCUGAUGGACCCAGAAGCCACUUCUCAGCAUAGCUCGCUGUCUAUACUGUGACAGUGAUUGUUCAUACGCUAUGUAGUAACAACACAGCAAAUGGAAGGGCAAGUGGGAGGGCAAUCUGGGGAUUCUGGCCACAAGACAUCACACAGGCCACCUUUCCUAGCAACGUGGUUGGGGGACAGUUUCCAGCUCCUACUCUGUGGGACGCAAGAAAAGGCAAUGAGAAUGCCGGAAAUGCUUGGGUUUUAUUGCCUACCCACUCUGCAAAGGGGACACUCCCCCAUUCCCGCUACACGCCUAGAAGAUCCCAUCCUUAUCCGACCCCAGUCUUCAGACUUUAAGCUUUUGUGGUCUCAGGUGCCCAGCUUUCGGGAGUGAAGGAGGCGAGAGGAGAGUUCAGCGGGAGUCCUUCCCUAAGCUGCUAGGCCAUCUGUUUCUCUGAGGGGCAAGGGAGCGGGGCUACUCGGCUGGAUCUCUUUGCUGAACAGGUAGAAGGCGCGAGAAACCCUUAAGGCAGCCUGGAGCUUCCAGGUGCUCUGGGAGGAGAUCGGUACACCGUGGAGAAAGAAAAGCUCGCAGGGGUUUCUUCCCAAGAAGAGGUUCAGGUUCCACCCCCUUCUUCUGAAAUGUAGCCAGGGGUCUGGGGCGUACAAUGGGCCGUUUUUUCCUCAGACCUCUUGGCCGCGGGAGUCAGGGCUAGUAUAGGGUUGUGGGGAAAAGAAGAGAUGCGGUGGGCUGGUCUAGGGCUCCUAGAUACAACCUCAGUUCCAAGAAUGUGGGACCUGUGAUAACAUACCCAACCCCACCCCUGGAAUCUUGGUGUCUCGAGAGCUGGCUCAAAGGAAUCCCAGCCCACCUUCCAAGGCACUAAGGCGCUGUAACGUCACAUUUGCCUCUGGCAAGAUACGCCCGGGCUCCGCCAGGUCUACCUAUCUCAUUUAUGCAGUGUUAUGACGUCACAUGUGGGCUGUGAUACUACGGCUCCCACAUUUUUCGGCCCCGCCCUGCAAACCCUUCCAGAAACGCGCCGAGAAUUCGUUCAUCUCCAUCAACAGGAUCCACAGACCCCAAGAGUUGGUCUGGGGUCCAACGCCCCGCAGCGUCCCCCUCUGGAAUCUGGUGGCUUCGGAUAAACCUCUCCGCUGGUAGCUUUCCAGUGCACCAGCUGCUGCGAGAUAUCCGCCCCGCCCACGUUACCCGGUCCUACCCCCCGCCUCCAUCACUGCGCACGCUCUGCGCGCAGGCGCAGAGUGAACUCAUCCCGCGGAACAUUAGGCGCUGGAGCUCACGGUCCCGCGGCUGUGGCGGGCGGUGGCGGGCGGUGGCGGGCGGUCGCUGCCGGUCGCUGCCGACUUCCGUGUCCCGCUUUCAGGCUUAACGAACGUGGGGUACUACUGGCAUAGCGGGCGCUUCCCGCUAUGGGCGUUUGUGAGCACUAGAGAUGCUGAAGCCGAAGAGGGCAGCUCUGGGUUCAUGCGAGCUGGAGGCCCUUGGAGUCCCUGUGGCACCCCGAAUCCAGCACUGCCAUGGUCCGACGGAGGUCCCUGGGAUUGGAGCCGGCAGGGAUGGUGCGGCCAGGCCCUGCACUAGAUCCGGUGUGGCCCUAGUCCUUUCAAACUGGGUCUUUGAGACAGAGGUCUUGGCUUCCAGACCAGCGGAGCUCUUGGAGGCACAGACUUGGCCACCCACCCUACCCAUUCCGCCUGGCUUUCUAGAGGGCCAGUUCAAGAGCCAGACUGAUGGCUGGGUCCAGUUUGCUCAUGUUUCAGAUGAAAAAAUUCACUAUGGACUGAGAUAGGAGAAAGGGGGCAAACCUCAUGUCAGUGGCAGAGGAAGAUUUAGAAGCCUUGUUUCCUUUGAGGCAAGGGACCUGAAGACCCAGUCGUUAACUUUUCCUGCCACUUACAAGCUUUGGCCAAGUCCCUGAAUUUCUCUGAGCCUGGCCUUUCUUCCUUUAAUGGGGAUAAUACUCUUCACACCUACCUCAUUCAGUUGGUGUAGAGGUCAAAAUCAUACAUCUUUUCUCAAUCAUUUAUUCACUACUCAAACCAAAACCGGGCCCUAAUGUGUUGCAGAACAACUUUGGCAUUUAUGAAGCACCAUGCAAAGCAUUCAAAAUGAUUCCCUCAGCAUCCUAAAGCUCCCAAGCUGCCUUAUUCCUAAGAGAAUCUUCCCAUCUUCACUUUCUCAUCACCCAAAGAUUCUGAAAAGGGAUGGAGGAAGGAUAUCACCUGGACGGGUGGUCAUGAAACUUCUAGAAAACUUGGAUGAAGCCUUCUUUAAACUGCAUGGAGAUGGAUAAAUCAGUUCACAGAUUAUUGUUGUAUUUGGUUGAGAGAGGAAGGUGGGUGACAAAAUAUGGUAGGCUCCUUGAGGCCUCCAGCCGGUUCUGCUUGUCUCAGUACUCUCUAUGCCUUUUGCGGCUCCUGAGCCCGAGGACAUAUUCCCAGAUGAGCGGGAAGCUGAAGAGCCUUGGCCUGAUUACAGGAGUGAGGAACACUUCAUGACAAAAGGAGGGACCAGUGUUCUACGUUGAUGUGCCAACAGUCCACUUCUCAGGAGGUAAAGUCAAAGCAGCUGGUCUGAGACAGCCUGACCCACACAUGGCCCAGUGACUACCAGAGACAACCUUGGGAAGCGGAGUGUUGGUAGACUCCCUGGCAUUGAACCUGUGACCCAGACACCCGGCCUUGAGUUUAAACUCUGUCAUCUCAGACUAGUUUUUAGCACUGGGAGUAUAUAAAACUUCAUGCUAUGUAUUGCGCAGGUCUUGAGAUUGAGACUGGUGAUAUUGAGGGAGAGCCAGAGUUUGAAGCAGGUUAAAUAUCUCUGAGCACAGCAGGGGCUUUUCAUCAGAUUCAGCUGUGGGAAACCCUUGAACCAGACCACAUUGCUACUGAACAUGUCAUCAAUCAAUCAACAAUUAUUUCUUGAGACAGCAAUGUGAGAAUUCAGUGAGAUCACCUAAGUGACAAGUUAGGAAGGCAGCAUGGC